AGAAGCCCGGAGCAGGGCAGAAGGGAGGAACAAGAAGCAAAGAGCACGAGGCUGAGACAGCGCGAGAAGGAGGGUGCCAAGAGACAGACUCCAAACCCGGAAAGGGAAAUUUGGAAUUUAGGUUUGGGAUAAAGAGGGGGAAAGAGACCUGGGGUGUCGGAUUCGUACUCUAGGAGGUGAAUGUACUCGGGCUGGCCUGUCAUGACGCCUUGUGAAAGAACAGAGAACGCACACCGUUCCUUACCUGCUGCCUAAGUCCACGGCCACGGUUCGCGACCCCGCGCCGUCCCAUAGUGCUCGCACCUGCAACUGGGAGGAAGUAAAUGAUAUGUACUGAAAGCCCCAUGGUUACUUUUGGAAUGGUCCGCUAGAUUUGACCAGUGCUGGAGAGUAUGCAGUGGAUGAUUUGCAGUUAUAUCUGCUAAGAUAGACUGAAACGUCCUUGCAAGAAAGGUGGUGUGGGGAGACCUUCAAGAUGGCGGAGGAGUAAGAUGUGGAGAUCACCUUCCUCCCCACAAAUACAUCAGAAAUGCAUCUAAAUGUGGAACAGCUCCUACAGAACACCUACUGAACGCUGGCAGAAGAACUCAGACUUCCCAAAA